GAUGAACGCUGGCGGCGUGCCUAAUACAUGCAAGUCGAGCGAACGGACGAGAAGCUUGCUUCUCCGAUGUUAGCGGCGGACGGGUGAGUAACACGUGGAUAACCUACCUAUAAGACUGGGAUAACUUCGGGAAACCGGAGCUAAUACCGGAUAAUAUUUUGAACCGCAUGGUUCAAAAGUGAAAGACGGUCUUGCUGUCACUUAUAGAUGGAUCCGCGCUGCAUUAGCUAGUUGGUAAGGUAACGGCUUACCAAGGCAACGAUGCAUAGCCGACCUGAGAGGGUGAUCGGCCACACUGGAACUGAGACACGGUCCAGACUCCUACGGGAGGCAGCAGUAGGGAAUCUUCCGCAAUGGGCGAAGGCCUGACGGAGCAACGCCGCGUGAGUGAUGAAGGUCUUCGGAUCGUAAAACUCUGUUAUUAGGGAAGAACAUAUGUGUAAGUAACUGUGCACAUCUUGACGGUACCUAAUCAGAAAGCCACGGCUAACUACGUGCCAGCAGCCGCGGUAAUACGUAGGUGGCAAGCGUUAUCCGGAAUUAUUGGGCGUAAAGCGCGCGUAGGCGGUUUUUUAAGUCUGAUGUGAAAGCCCACGGCUCAACCGUGGAGGGUCAUUGGAAACUGGAAAACUUGAGUGCAGAAGAGGAAAGUGGAAUUCCAUGUGUAGCGGUGAAAUGCGCAGAGAUAUGGAGGAACACCAGUGGCGAAGGCGACUUUCUGGUCUGUAACUGACGCUGAUGUGCGAAAGCGUGGGGAUCAAACAGGAUUAGAUACCCUGGUAGUCCACGCCGUAAACGAUGAGUGCUAAGUGUUAGGGGGUUUCCGCCCCUUAGUGCUGCAGCUAACGCAUUAAGCACUCCGCCUGGGGAGUACGACCGCAAGGUUGAAACUCAAAGGAAUUGACGGGGACCCGCACAAGCGGUGGAGCAUGUGGUUUAAUUCGAAGCAACGCGAAGAACCUUACCAAAUCUUGACAUCCUUUGACAACUCUAGAGAUAGAGCCUUCCCCUUCGGGGGGGCAAAGUGACAGGUGGUGCAUGGUUGUCGUCAGCUCGUGUCGUGAGAUGUUGGGUUAAGUCCCGCAACGAGCGCAACCCUUAAGCUUAGUUGCCAUCAUUAAGUUGGGCACUCUAAGUUGACUGCCGGUGACAAACCGGAGGAAGGUGGGGAUGACGUCAAAUCAUCAUGCCCCUUAUGAUUUGGGCUACACACGUGCUACAAUGGACAAUACAAAGGGCAGCGAAACCGCGAGGUCAAGCAAAUCCCAUAAAGUUGUUCUCAGUUCGGAUUGUAGUCUGCAACUCGACUACAUGAAGCUGGAAUCGCUAGUAAUCGUAGAUCAGCAUGCUACGGUGAAUACGUUCCCGGGUCU
rnacentral:rRNA from 1 species